GAUUUCUCGGCGAUUUCUCGUCUGCUGUGCCACAACUCAACACUCAGUCUUAAGAGACGGUUUCCAGCUUUUACUUUCUAAAACUUCAAAUGCAACUUGAAUAUUUAUAUUACAGAUUUUAUUCUUCAGGACUUGGAUAAACAGUGAAUAUAUUAGAGCAAGAGGACACGAAAUGCCGAAAUUAGGGUUGUUCAUCGCAUUGGUGUUCGUGAUUCCGAUUGCCAUGAUUGCGGGUGUUCCGGUUGAUAAUUGCCUGGGCAAAUGUGACGUCUACCCCAGCUACUACUGCGACAGUUUUAAUGGCGUAUGUACCCCAUGCCAUUCUGCCAAAGACAACCCAAAGUGCAAUGGUGUUUUCAGGCCUUCGAAAACAACGACGGAAUGGGGUGUCAAAACUUUGAUUACUACCCGAAACCGACCGGAGCCAGAGCGUGUGACAGUCGACCCAAUAAGAUCUAUCAGGCUCAGUUUACCUGACCGCAAUGUGGUGAUAAAUGAUCACGAAGAACGUCACCAAAACGACAUCGAUGUCGACCUUACAGACCCUUCUCGUAAUGAGGAAAACCACACAAACAUCCUAAUCAUCGUCGCCUCGGUAUCAUUAGUCACACUCGGAGUAGGCGUGGUCAUCGGGAUACAUCGUCGGUCCCGUUCACCGACUGGACAGCGGCCGGGGACGCCUACUACUGACUCACAAGAUGGCAUGGAAUUAGAAGAGCUAGCGAGCGAGCAAUGAAAUGGAGCAGCAAGAGAAAUCGGAGAACACAAAGGAGACAUUCCAGAAUAACCAAUAUUUCUCUGCUCGAUCAAGAAUAAAGUACAUCGGAUCACCCCUCUCUUUUAUAUGUUAUUAUUAAUUUCCCUUUGAAUGUACGAUACAGUGCGUCCCAGAAAAAAAAGAAACCGGACUCCGAACUGUUUUCGUCAAAGGCAAAUUAUGACAUUUCGUUUACAUUAUCAUACAGAUCAAUUAUUCCUCUACUAUUUUGAUACCUAAUAUGUGACGAACACUUCACGCAUAAUUAACGAGCGAGACGAGUUUGAAAUUUUAAUGUCGAAAUCAGAAUGCGCAGAAAAUAUGAACAAGAUUGGUUCGUGAUACGACAACCGUGCUUAUUCGACGAUUGGCUCAUUAGCAUUUAUUGUGUAUUCUUUGUUAAGUUUCUCUCACAGAUCCCUGAAAUGAGAGUGGAUUCAGAUUUGAUUUGAUUUUAUUCUAUUUUAUUUACCAAUAUAAAAACAAUACAUAAAAAAUUACAACAUAAUAUAAUACAUGAUAAAAUAAAAUUGGAUGGAUCGCCCUACUCAGCUGAGCCAUUACAGCACAACUGUUCUGCCGAGGGGUCCAGCUAUAUUAAAAAACAACAUGAAAUUCAUAUUACAAAAAUAAUAUUAACAAGUGAGUUUCUGCACAAAUCGUUUCUGACAGGCCUCAAUAUUAUUGUUUGUAAUCUGCAUGCACGCGUGAAUGUUUUGAUAAGCUAUAGUGUUGGUCUUAUAAGAUUUCACACUUUCUUCCUUUUUAUGGGACGCACUGUAUACUUCGAUUUGUGUGGUUGGUUUUCCCUUUUAUUUAUUGUUUUGUAAUUGCUCAUGGCGCAUUAUCUAUGUGUCGGUAUAUAUGUAUGCGUUUAAAAAGUAUAAGAGUAUUACCUCCCCCCACCCGGUAUGACUGGGAUUCCUAAAGGCGGUAAAAAUGAAGGAAUACAUAUAACCAGGUACCCGUUCGCUUCACCUGGGUUGAGUACAGCACAUUUUGGCUGAAAUUCUUGAUGAAUGAGAUAAAGUAUUUAAAGGUAAAGUCCACCCCAGAAAAAAGUUGAAUUAAAUAAAUAGAGAAAAAUCAAACAUGAAUAACGCUGAAAACUUCAUCAAAAUUGGAUGUAAAAUAAGAAAGUUAUGACAUUUUAAAGUUCCGCUUAUUUUUCACAAAACAGUUCUAUGAUCAACUCAGACAGUGAUAUGCAAAUGAGAGAGUCGAUGGUGUCACUCACUCACUGUUUCUUUUUUUUUUUAUUGUUUGAAUUAUACACUAUUUCAAUUUUACGAAUUUGACAAUUAGGACCCACUUGCUUGAACCACAAAAUGUUGAAAUAAUGGAAUUCCAUGUGUUCAGGGAGGAAUGAAACUUUGUUUCACAUGACAGUGACGAGAAAAUAAAAAUGUUUCAUAUUUCAUAUAAUAAAAUACAAAAUAAAUAGUGAGAGAUGUCAUCGGUUUCCUCAUUUGCAUACCUACCAGCAUGUGCAUACAACAGCCCUGUUUUGUGAAAAAUAAGCGAAACUUUAAAAUGUCAUAACUUUCUUAUUUUACAUCCGAUUUUGAUGAAGUUUUCAGUGUUAUGCUUGUUUGAUUUUUCUCUUUCUAUUCAAAUCAGCUUUUUGUUGGCAAUAAUCCCACGAGGAAGUUUAUCAAUUAGCCUACAUGUAUGGCUAUGUCCCCCCCCCCC